GACUUCGUUUCUCAGUUGGUGGAGCAUUGGACUGACAAACCAAAGGUCGUGGGUUUGAUCCCCACAGUGGUCA